CCGUUCUCAACGGGGUGCCACGCGUACGCGUGCGCUGAGAAAAUACCCGUCGAACCUGAUCCGGAUAACGCCGGCGAAGGGAUUUGAGGCUCCUUCUCAA
rfam:Clonorchis sinensis DNA, scaffold: 2496, strain: Henan.